rnacentral:tRNA from 1 species
GGAGUUGUGGCUCAGCGGGAGAGCACUCACCUAGCACUUGCGAGGCCCUGGGUUCGAUCCUCAGCACCA